rnacentral:lncRNA from 1 species
AAGAAUAAGAUAGGCUUCAUCAAUGGUGCUUGCCCCUGUUCUAACUGCUUGUUCCAAGGAUUUCUAGCCCUGGAGUAAAUGCAAUAAUAUGGUUACAUCUUGGUUUCUCAACUCAAUAUCCAAGGAUAUAGGGAAUAGUGUCAUAUACUCAAAAUCUGCUAAGGACCGCUGGACCAGUUUAGAAUAUAGAUUUGGUCAGUCAAAUGGAGCUAAACUUUAUCGCCUGAGGAAAGAAUUAUCAGGAUUAGUCCAAGGGACAAGUGACAUUUCAGGCUAAUUUACAAAAGUCAAAUGACUAUGGAAUGAGUUGGAUUCACUAAAUUGUGAUGUCAAAUGCUGUUAUUUUGUGUGUAUAAAGGAAACUAGAAAUUAGAAAAAUUACUAGAUGAUGAAAGACUCAUUCAAUUUCUUAUGGAUUUGAAUGACAGUUAUGCACAAGCAAGAGGAAACAUCCUAAUGAUGAAUCCUUUGCCGAGCAUCAAUCAUGCAUAGCGAGAAAGAAAUCUUUGCCAAUCCACUCAUUUGUCCUGAUUCCUCAUCUUUCAUGAUUACAGAGCAAAAUAAUUUUGCACAAAGAGGAGGAAAGCAUACUCAAAAAGGGAAUUCACUUUAUCCAAAGUUCGGAAAUAACUUGCAGAAAGGAAAAAAUAAUUCCAUUAAGAGGAAUUCAACUUUCAAAGGAAAGAAAAUCACGUUUAAUCCUAAUGUUUCUUGCAGUCAUUGCAAGAAAGUUGGAUAUGCUGUGAAUAUUGCUGCAGAAUAAUAAGAUUUCCAGAGAGUUUUGAGUUCACAAAGGGAAAUCCGAUGCAAGUUAGAGGAAAUGGAGCAUUUCAAAUGGAACAAACAGAACAUAGCAACACUAGUCAAAGUAAAGUGAUAAAUCAACACCUGUCACAAGAUCAAUUUUCUCAACUGGUACAACUGAUUAAGCAAGUUAAGGCUGCGGAAUCAGCAAAUUCAGGAGAAGAAAUCAAUGACAGUUGCUAGUACUAUUGCAAGAUAUUCUGGAAGUUGUUUCUCAGUUUUUAAUAAUAGUUCAUGGAUUAUUGAUUCUGGAGCCUCUGAGCAUAUGUAUUUUGACUCAAAUGCUUUCAUUUCUUUAACAGCCAUGUCAGUUCCCUUAAGUAUAAACUUGCCUACUUCUUUCAAAGUUACAGUUACUCAUAUAGGAAGGAUAUAUUUUACCCGAUUACUUUCUGAAAAAUGUAUUACAUAUGCCUAGUUUCAGAUACAAUUUAUAAUUUGUUAACAGGUUCUGUUUACAAUUUCAGUCACUCCUCCUUUUCACUUCUAAUCACUCUUUCUCGCUGGCCCCUUUAGUGAAGUGGGCACAAGUUUUUGGUGAAGCGAAGGAAAGGAUUUACCUUUUGGAGCCAAGUCAAGAUAGAAAUAGAAGAGAAGUAGAGACGAGUUCUUUUUCAAAUCAAAAUGUUUCUAGUCAAUUAUUAGUUUAUUUUCCUUUUUCAGCAAAUGUCGUUUCAGAAGUAAGCCUUUCACAUAUUAUAUUGGGGUAUUUGCCUUUUUUAUCAAUGAAACAUCUCAGUUUUAUCUCUUUACCUUCUAAGUCUGAUUGCUUCUGUGACAUCUGUCCUAAGGCUAGGCAAACUAGAAUUCCCUUUACUCUAAGUCAAAUUAAAACAAAAAAAGCCAUUUGAGUUAAUUCAUGUUGAUGUUUGGGGACCCUACAAAGUGGCUACUUAUAAUGAUUUCAAAUAUUUCUUGACUAUUGUGGAUGAUUACAAUAGAGGUGCUUGGACUUUUCUCAUGAGUACCACAAGCAAUGAUUUUUAUCUUCUUAAAAACUUCUUCACAAUGGUGGAAAGACAAUUUGGGAUAAAAAUGCAAAAACUGAGGGCUAACAAUGCAUUUGAACUUGGCAAGGGUUCUCUAGAGGCAGCCUUCCUUGCUUCACAAGAGAUAAUACACAAAACAUCAUGUGUGCCAACACCUCAACAAAAUGGGGUGGUUAGAGGAAGCAUAGACACCUUUUGGAAAUUGCAAGGGCUUUACUAUUUCAGUCUAAAUAUCCUCUGAUCUACUGGGAUGAGUGUGUGCUAACUGCUACAUAUUUGAUUAACAGGCUACCUUCUACGGUGCUCAAAGAAAACUCACCUUAUUUUGUGUUGUUGAAGCAUCAACCUUCCUAUAAUUCACUCAAAUAUUUUGGUUGUCUUUGCCAUGUGUCUACUUUGUCUACUGGGAGUGGAAAAUUUGAUCUAAGGGAGCCUUAUGUAUUUCUAGGAUAUCCUUUGGGGCAGAAAAGGAUAUAAGGUCAUCGAUUUAGAUACCAAAAGAGUGACAAUAUCUAGGGAUGUUUAAUUGUAUGAAGAUCAAUACCCUUUUGUUUCCACUAACCUUACUCCAGCCUCCAUCUUUCCUAUUCCCUCAACCACAUACUAUGGAUCUCUAUCAGACCAUAACCAAAAUAAUAAUGUCACACCUGUAGAUAACUCUCAAUCACCAUCUCAAUUCAUCAACCAUAGUACCUCUAACACACCUCAGUCAUGUUCUACUCCCUAUUCAAGAUCAUUUCCUCAUUCCCCUUCACUCAUAAAACUGCCAUAUAUAAGGAAAUCCACCAAACAAAAUAAUACAACUGCAUACCUACAAGAUUGUGUUUGCAACUCAGUAUUUCUUGCUAAUAUGACUAACUCUUGUUUGAUGGAACCAAUUCAACCUAAUGUGUUGCCCUUUACAGUCCUAUUAUUUGCCAAUCAAUCCCUAAUUAACUCCACUUCUUACCUCACAGUACCUACCUCCUACUCUCAAGCUAUGUUGCAUCCAGGAUGGUAAGAGGCUAUGGCUAAGGAAUUGGAAGCUCUUGAACUGAACAAAACUUGGGAGGUAGUCCCUUUACCUACUGGGAAGAAAGCCCUUCCCUGUAAGUGGGUCUACAUAGUGAAGUACAGGUUAGAAGGUUUUUUGGAAAGGUUUAAGACUCGUUUGGUUAUUAGGGGAGAUACACAGUGAGAAGAAAUAGACUUUACUGAGACCUUCUCUUCAGUUAUCAAUACGACAACAAUCAGAUGUCUACUUGAUACUGCAGUAAAGAAAGGGUGGCAAGUAUCAUAAUUAGAUGUAAACAAUGUCUUCCUACAUGGAGAUUUGUAGGGAGAGGUGUUCAUGAAAUUCCCAACAGGAAUGUCACCACCUUCACCCAACCAUGUUUUCCUUUUGAAAAAGUCUCUGUAUGGAUUGUGAUAAUCCACAAGAUAAUGGCAUGUUAGGCUCACUGUAGCUCCGAAUUUCAAAGGGUAUUCACAUUCCCUAAAUGACUAUUCUUUAUUUUUUUAAAAUCAGUAGAGAAAACCACUAUAGUUGUUGUCUACAUUGAUGAUAUACUAAUCACAGGGAAUGACUCUAAUGAGCAGGCAUAACUCAAAUCCAUUCUUAAUUUUGAGUUCAAAAUCAAGGAUCUAGGGGAUACACAUUAUUUUUAGGGUUUGAAAUUAUCAAAGAAAAAUAAGGAAUAAUUUUGACUCAAAAGCGUUAUACCUUAGACCUCUUGUCAGAGUUUGAUUGCAUGCAAAUCACACCAGCCUUUUCUCCUUUGGAUACCACUCAGAGGCUUCGACUAGAGCAAGGUACUUUGCUUUAAGACCCCACCCUUUACCGUUGAUUAUUGGAAAAAUUAAAUUUUCUCACUCAUACUCGACCGGACCUUUCCUUUGCUGUGCAGCACUUCAGCCAGUUCAUGCAAAUGCCUCGUCGGCCUCAUCUAGAUGUAGCGUAUCAUCACUGCCUCA